GGCUCAGAUUGAACGCUGGCGGCAUGCCUUACACAUGCAAGUCGAACGGCAGCACGGGGCAACCUGGUGGCGAGUGGCGAACGGGUGAGUAAUGCAUCGGAACGUGCCAUUGAGUGGGGGAUAACGUAGCGAAAGUUGCGCUAAUACCGCAUAUUCUGUGAGCAGGAAAGCAGGGGGACCGCAAGGCCUUGCGCUCUUUGAGCGGCCGAUGUCAGAUUAGCUAGUUGGUGAGGUAACGGCUUACCAAGGCGACGAUCUGUAGCGGGUCUGAGAGGAUGAUCCGCCACACUGGAACUGAGACACGGUCCAGACUCCUACGGGAGGCAGCAGUGGGGAAUUUUGGACAAUGGGCGCAAGCCUGAUCCAGCCAUGCCGCGUGAGUGAAGAAGGCCUUCGGGUUGUAAAGCUCUUUCGGCCGGGAAGAAAUCGCAUGGGUUAAUACCCUGUGUGGAUGACGGUACCGGAAUAAGAAGCACCGGCUAACUACGUG
rnacentral:rRNA from 1 species